rnacentral:rRNA from 1 species
AUUGAACGCUGGCGGCAUGCCUUACACAUGCAAGUCGAACGGCAGCACGGGAGCAAUCCUGGUGGCGAGUGGCGAACGGGUGAGUAAAGUAUCGGAACGUGCCCAGUCGUGGGGGAUAACGUAGCGAAAGUUACGCUAAUACCACAUACGAUCUAUGGAUGAAAGCGGGGGAUCGCAAGACCUCGCGCGAUUGGAGCGGCCGAUAUCAGGUUAGGUCGUCGGUGGGGUAAAGGCUAACCAAGCCGACGAUCUGUAGCUGGUCUGAGAGGACGACCAGCCACACUGGGACUGAGACACGGCCCAGACUCCUACGGGAGGCAGCAGUGGGGAAUUUUGGACAAUGGGCGCAAGCCUGAUCCAGCCAUGCCGCGUGCAGGAUGAAGGCCUUCGGGUUGUAAACUGCUUUUGUACGGAACGAAAAGGUUUGGCUUAAUACGUUGAACUCAUGACGGUACCGUAAGAAUAAGCACCGGCUAACUACGUGCCAGCAGCCGCCGUAA